CCUGCCUCAGCCUCCCAAGUGCUGGGAUUACAGGAUCUCAUGAAGUUACCUAGGAUAGCCUCAAAUUUGCAUUCCUCCAGCCUCAGCCUUCUCAAGUACUGGGAUUACAGGCUUUGCAAGAAAAGAGAGUGAUGCCCCUGCAAGAAGAGAGGAUUUGGCUUGCAGAUGGCUUCUGGACUUGAGAUACAGCAUCACCCUCCUGCGGGCCUUCAGUAUACUGGCCCAUGCUACAGACUUUGGACUCACUGUUUCAUAUACAUGAGCCGAUUUCUUAAAAUCCCCUGUCUCCCUCUCCUUAUAUAUAUAUCACCAACAGACACAGAUACACAGACACACACACACACACACACUGCCCACCUCUACAUGCAUCCCUGUUUGCUCUCUUUGUCUGGAGAACCCUGACUAACACUCCAUAUAUAUUUGCUGACUAUAUUGCAUGAAUGAAGUAUGGGAGCUCAGAAGGGAAUGGCUGUACCAUAUUUUUAGGGAUGACAUUCUAGACACUAGGGCUCCCAAGAAAAUUUUCAUAGCUUAGAGCAACCUGGCUUUAAGGCACCACGGGGCAUAGGCUUGGAAGGAGUGAAGAUGAACAUGACAGACUUGAAGUAGAGGUUCUUUCCCCUGGGGGUUAUUUCCUAGACUCUUGAGGGAGGUUGAGGUAGGGAUAAACAAGAGUCUUGGAUAA